rnacentral:rRNA from 1 species
AGAGUUUGAUCAUGGCUCAGAAUCAACGCUGGCGGCGUGCCUCAGACAUGCAAGUCGAACGCGAAAGUCCCCUUCGGGGGACGAGUAGAGUGGCGCACGGGUGGGUAACACGUAGGUAAUCUACCUUUGGAUUGGGAAUAACCACCGGAAACGGUGGCUAAUACCGAAUAAUGCAAGCGGCACCUAAUGGUGACAGUUGUUAAAGCGGGGGAUCGCAAGACCUCGCGUCUGAAGAGGAGCCUGCGGCAGAUUAGCUAGUUGGUAAGGUAACGGCUUACCAAGGCGAUGAUCUGUAGCCGGCCUGAGAGGGCGGUCGGCCACACUGACACUGACAUACGGGUCAGACUCCUACGGGAGGCAGCAGUCGGGAAUUUUGGGCAAUGGGCGAAAGCCUGACCCAGCAACGCCGCGUGAAGGAUGAAAUCCCUCGGGAAUGUAACUUCGCAAGAACGGGAAGAAAUAGUAGAGCUAAUAUCUCUAAUGAUGACGGUACU